GCCGGGGUGGCGGAAUAGGUAGACGCGGAGGUCUCAAAAACCUCUGGGCUUACGCCCUUGCGGGUUCGAGUCCCGCCCCCGGCA
rnacentral:tRNA from 1 species